AAUAUUGGACAAUGGGGGCAACCCUGCUCCAGCCAUGCCGCGUGCGUGAAGAAUGCCAUCGGAUUGUAACGUACUCUAAGUUGGGAGGAAGGGCUUUUGGUUACUGCCCUGAAGUUUUGACGUUACGAACAGAACGAGCCCCGGCUAACUCUGUGCCGGCAGCCGCGGUAAUACAGAGGGUGCAAGCGUUAAUCGGAAUUACUGGGCGUACAGCGCGCGUAGGUGGUUCAGUAAGAUGGGUGUGAAAUCCCCGGGCUUAACCUGGGAACUGCUUUCAUAACUGCUGAGCUAGAGUACGGUAGAGGGUAGUGGAAUUUCCUGUGUAGCGGUGAAAUGCGUAGAUAUAGGGAGGAACACCAGUGGCGAAGGCGACUACCUGGACUGAUACUGACACUGAGGUGCGAAAGCGUGGGGAGCAAAC
rnacentral:rRNA from 1 species